AGCAAUACACUAGCCUACACAGAACUCGUGUCAGUGAUGUCUGCACUGCACAGAAUUAGGUGAUUUAGACCAGAAUAGACGAGCACCGAGGAGAGGAGAGGAGAGGAGAGAAUAACAUAUUGGCAUAGCUGAAGACAGUUGAAGACAUACAGUAUAAGGUAGUGGUGGUACACUGACUGUAAAUAUCCACAGAGACAAAGAAGCACUGUAACAGCAGCACAACGGAACAGGCUGCAGACAAUACAAGUGUUCACAUCAUAAUUGUCCGCUAGCACUAUCUGGGCCAAUGACACCUGCCUGCAGCUCCCUGUAAACUGACUCCCUUUCUGCCUUAAUAGUGAGGGUCGUGUUCAUUAGGCACCAAACAGGAGAAGGCAGACUGAACCAGGGAGGGACUACCUCGACUUGUCCAAUAAGAAACAGACAUUUUUGUUUUCUGUUACUGAAUGUUUUAAAACAUUUUAUGCUUCAUGCUCAAAUGAACACGGCCCUCCUGUAGCUUCCCUCGAUUAUGGCGGUGAACAGAUUUCUCCACCCACGGCCAUGGGGCAUGAAUUGGGUGAUUUUGUGGUAGUCGGCAAGGUAUAAUCUGAUGAGAUUAGUUUGCUCUUUAAAUAGAGUUCUGUGGCCAGGGAUUAGAUUAUCACAGCCAGGAGCCUCAAGAGCAAAGAGCCUCUGUCUCGUUGACUUUGUUAUGGGAAUACCAUGACAACAAUCAUUCCGAGCAAGAUAGUGGCAUUAGAGAGAGUCUGUGUGUGUGUGUGUGUGUGUGUCUGGGCCUGGCUACUGGGGGACCCCUCCCUCACACACACACACACACACACACACAAACACACACGCAAGCACAAACGCACACACACACACACACACAACCCAAUACACACCCGUACAAAUAGGAACAGAAAUAUCGCCCUCCGACAUGGCAAGGUUAGGUUGACAUCAGUGGCUAACGAUCAGUUCCUCUGUGGUGAAUGAUCAGCUGUAGCCCAGAGGCAUUUCCAGCUUGUUUCCCUAAGUCAUUCAGACGUCGAACAUCACCAGGCUUCAAAGAGCACAAUAACUAGGCCUACAUCCAUCCUGUUCCACUCUCAAAGCACAUAUCUACCCAGUGUCUUCGUCUAGAAACGACAUCAUCCUCAUAGAACUCAAGUUAAGUGGAAAGCAGAGCCAUAACUCUGUUCUGUUUCCAGUUAUUUGUCAUCCACAAAUAUUAGGGAUGGCAAAGCAGAUCCUUUGUUUUAGGUAAACAAUAUAUGUUUUGGCUCACGACGGGUGUGGAAAUAUACGCCCCUUUCUUUACAAUGAGGUAUUUUCUUGACAAUAUUUCUGUCUAUUUUACGGAUCCCUUUUGGCUCAAGAGCAACCCAGAGGCAAAAGUUCUGUAUAGCCACUUUAAAUAUGCUUCAAUGAGUCUGCUGGGCUGUUUGUAUGUGUGACUGUGACUGUUGGGUGUGGUCUUUGUGUGAGCCUGUCCAGGCUACGAUGCCGUGCUAAUCUAAUCUAAUAAGAGCAUUCACUAACCACCAUGAAGCAGCCUCACACAGCAGAACCACAUCUCCUGCUGUUCAUUUCAUGGACCGGCAAAAAUAACAUGCCAGCUAGUUGUCCCACUGUACAUAAAUCUCAGCUAAAUGACGUGUUAUCCGACUGGGAUUCAAAGGGAAAUCGAAGCACCACUUUCGUGGCAGAAAAACAGUAGCAUGUAUUUUUAAACCAGCGUUGUUUU
rnacentral:lncRNA from 1 species